GGAGAGGUCUGCCCUCACGUCCUCUUGUCUAUGGGGGUCAAGGAGCAGGCUGAGGCACUAAGCAGAGAAGAGGAGAGGUCUGCCCUCACGUCCUCUUGUCUCAGACCUCACGUCCUCUUGUCUAUGGAGGUCAAGGAGCAGGCUGAGGCAC